rnacentral:rRNA from 1 species
GUGAGGAAUAUUGGUCAAUGGACGGAAGUCUGAACCAGCCAUGCCGCGUGAAGGAUGAAGGCGUUCUGCGUUGUAAACUUCUUUUAUCAGAGAAGAAACCACUGAUUUCUAUUAGUGUUGACGGUAUCUGAUGAAUAAGCACCGGCUAACUCCGUGCCAGCAGCCGCGGUAAUACGGAGGGUGCAAGCGUUAUCCGGAUUUACUGGGUUUAAAGGGUGUGUAGGCGGGCUAUUAAGUCAGGGGUGAAAUCCCGGGGCUCAACCUCGGAACUGCCUUUGAUACUAUUAGUCUUGAAUUAUGUUGAGGUUGGCGGAAUAUAACAUGUAGCGGUGAAAUGCAUAGAUAUGUUAUAGAACACCGAUUGCGAAGGCAGCUGGCUAAACAUAUAUUGACGCUGAGGCACGAAAGCGUGGGUAGCGAACAGGAUUAGAUACCCUAGUAGUCC